GAUGAACGCUGGCGGCGUGCCUAAUACAUGCAAGUCGAGCGAACAGACGAGGAGCUUGCUCCUCUGACGUUAGCGGCGGACGGGUGAGUAACACGUUGAUAACCUACCUAUAAGACUGGGAUAACUUCGGGAAACCGGAGCUAAUACCGGAUAAUAUAUUGAACCGCAUGGUUCAAUAGUGAAAUACGGUUUUGCUGUCACUUAUAGAUGGAUCCGCGCCGCAUUAGCUAGUUGGUAAGGUAACGGCUUACCAAGGCGACGAUGCGUAGCCGACCUGAGAGGGUGAUCGGCCACACUGGAACUGAGACACGGUCCAGACUCCUACGGGAGGCAGCAGUAGGGAAUCUUCCGCAAUGGGCGAAAGCCUGACGGAGCAACGCCGCGUGAGUGAUGAAGGUCUUCGGAUCGUAAAACUCUGUUAUUAGGGAAGAACAAAUGUGUAAGUAACUAUGCACGUCUUGACGGUACCUAAUCAGAAAGCCACGGCUAACUACGUG
rnacentral:rRNA from 1 species